AGUGCUCUCAGGAGCGUCACAGCGAGUCUGUCCCCGUCCCCCCCCCCCCCCCCCCCACUCCAGAAAGCAUCGUGAGCUGUCUGCUGCUGGGACGGAGAGCAAAUUUACAACAUCUAAGGUGUCGCUGGUGAUGUUCAAAUGCCUGUUCCGAAACUCCUAGAAAAUUAGGAUUUUGUUUCUAAUUUAAAAUCUUAUGCCCAGCUCUAGGGCAGCACAUGUCAGGUGUUACACGAAGUGUGUUGGGGAGAAUAAACUGAAUGAGAGGACGGUGAACAAUGGGUACAUUUGAAAUUUAGAAAACAAUAAUUUUGUAAUAAUUGUGGCCCUUACAUUUAAUGUAACACUCUGAGGAGCAUAUGUGCUUAUCCAGUAGGAGAACGCCCACGGGGGAGAACAGUUGAAGGGGAAAUUACAGGCCAUUUUUUAAAGUUUAAGAUUUGUUGCUUCAAACCAUAAUUGUUCUUAGAACAUUUUUGGAAUUUCUCAUCUUUUGGUCAUUUGAGAGUCAUGAUGUUUUGAUUUAUAAUGGAAAAUUUAGUGCAAAAGUGGGUAACUAAAUCCAUAGCAAAGUUUUCUAUUCAAUUUUAUAAAUUUUUUAAUAGCGAAUUAUGUCCUAAUUGUAUUUUGGGAAAUUGAACAGCAGCAAAUACUGUAGACUUACAGUUACCAUUUUUUUCUGUUAUGUAUACAAAAUUUAACUACUUUUUGGUGUUUAUGAAAACAAUUUAGUUGACGAGGUGCCUAUACCAUUGUUAAGUUUUCUUUAAAUAUGUCUGGACGGUAGGUUUGCUAAUUAACAAAAAAGAAUCUGACAAAAAGAUUGUGAGGCACUUGCUAGAGGGGUCCAGGCCGCCACUGGGGCCUGGGGUGGGGCAGUGGAGGCGAGCCAGAGGUCAACUAAGGCAGAACACUCCGUUUCUCGUGGGAAGAUGGAGCCUUCUGGCCAGUGUGAACCUUCGUCGUCUCCCGUUGCCGGAGUCCGGGACACGAAGCAAAAGUUACAAAGUAAAAGAUAAUGCUCAUUUUAAUGCUUUAUCUUUUAAUGCUACAAUCUCAUUUUAAUGCUUACAAUGAGAUAAAUAUUAGAACAUUAGUGUUCCAAUGAUUUAAUGAGGAUCUUGAAAUAAAUUAUGAAGUCUUCCAAUUUUUACACUUAUUGGAGGGGUCCCUGCAUUGUCAACCUGUUCAUUUAAGUCUCUUACUCUUAUUUUGUGCAUAAAUGUUGAAAUUUCCAAAAAUGAAAUGUUAGCUUCCUUGUUUUUACUUUUUAUUGAAUUUAAUACAAAAUAUGACCAGAGUAAUUAAAAAGUAUUUUGCAUUCUUUGCAGUAGGAUGUCAUUAGCCCUGCUCACAGGGCAAAUUUUCGAAAUUCAAUUUGGGUGAAAGAUUUGCUAGUUUUCCAGAAAGAUUUGCUAUCUUAAACUCAAGCUGGUUUUUCUAUUUUCAUGUAAAUGACUGGGAUGCUAUCUUAUAAACUCUUCCAAGGUCAUGUUUGUGAAAUAAACAUUACACGAGAGCUUUCCUGUCAUCUACACUAUAUAUGUCGUCUGGAGUGUUGAACAAAUUUGCGUUCCUAAGUUGUAAUCUAUCUUCGUAUGGUAUAUACGAUUUUGAAUGUGUGCCACUACAUACUGAGAUGAUAAUGCUGUACAAUUUUAAAUGGUAGCAGUUUCUGUAUGCAGUAGGCUGAAAUAUUUUGAUGAACUGCUUAAUUUUUGGAUUUUAUUUUUUAAGUUGUAUAAUUUAUUUUCUUGCAAAAUAAAAAUGUAAUAUAAAAGCUUUCACCUAUCCAGAAAAUGUUGAUGUUCUACUAUUACAUAGUUUUUAAGAGUUAAAUUUAAAUUUGUGUAAUAGGUACAUUUAUGCAUUUCACGGUGAAAUAGUAAAUCUUAGCCUUACAAAUCAGAAACACGAAGAGUAACCCACUUCUUGUAGAUUUUAAAUUUUAGUCCAAAAUGAAA
ensembl:lncRNA